GUCGACAAGCCUUCCUGAAUACAAUAACUUUACUUUUAUCAAUAUUGUUUUUCAAUUUCCACUUGUUACAAUACGAAACUAGCUUCUUUUGCUUCUAGCCUC